CUACAGGGAAGAUUUUCCUUAUUAAAAACAGGGAAGACAGAGAAAUCUUGGUGUGAGGAGGCUUCCCAAACACUGGUUAAACAGUGGAUGAAACCCAUCCCAGCCAGACCCAGCUGUUCCUCUCAGCUGAGACCAUAAAAUCUCACUUGCUGGUUUUCCAGUGUGUCCCAGUCAAACCUUGCCCAAUAUUUAGAAAUAUGCAGUCCCCUAAGCAGUUCUGGGUGUUUGGAACUGCACAAAAGCAGCAUUGAAGGUAUUUCAUUUUUUUCAUCCCCAGUUCUCCAUGAGAGAGAAAAUACAGAAAGCAAAGUUCUCCUCAUCAGUCUCAGAUGAAGGAAUGUAUUAUCCAUUAAAAGUCCCAGAUUUAAUCAUCCUGCUUUGUCUGCACCUCUUUGGCUCAUCACAAUAUUGUCAUUUAUAUUUAUGAGAUUAGAGAGAGUUUAACAUGUUAUGAACGCCCCAAAUCCUCAGAUUAAAAAAAAAAAGGAAAAAAAAAAAAAAAGAGAGAGAGAGAGAGAGAGAGAGAGAGAGAGAAAAGGAAGAGCUUUUUAUUAUUUUCAGUUUAUGAACAAAACAAACCAAGCCAAAUAUAGAGGGGAGGGGCAAGAAGAGGAAAUGCACAAUAAUUCCACUCUGGCUUCAGUUUGGGAAUGUCUUUCAGGAGGUCAGUUCAUCAGUGCCAGGCAAACUGUUGGGAUUAAAUGCAGGAUGGAUGGAUGGAUGAACAUUUCUCCAAACUGGAUGAUUUCCUCCCACCUCUGCCUGCUGUGGCACCAGGAAUUCCUGCCCUGCUCCUUUACCAGAGAUCUCUGCCAAGGAAACUUCCCAGGACUGUCACACUCUGCUUUGCUUCCUCCCACUAAUCCUUUGGCCCUU
rnacentral:lncRNA from 12 species